GGAAGGAUCAUUAACAAAUCAGUUAUAUGGCGAAAGCCAUAUAUAUUCACCCUAAGCCUGGGAUUGUACAUUGUACAGGACCGGGCUUUGGUUGGGCUACAUUCCUUGUGGAUGUGGCUCCGGCAAGUACGCUUCGGCGCACUGGCCACAUAGACGCUUGUAUUGUUUGACAGAGUAAUUAUUGCUUAAAAAUGACAACUUUUAACAAUGGAUCUCUUGGCUCUUGCAACGAUGAAGAACGCAGUGAAAUGCGAAAAGUAAUGCGAUUUGCAUGAAUCUGUGAGUCAUCAAGUCUUUGAACGCACCUUGCACCGUAUGAGUAAUCGUACGGUAUACCUGUUUGAGAAUCGUAAAACUCUCUUUCCAUCUUUUUGAUGGGAGACUUGUCGGUUGUGCCCCUCGGGGUACUCUGAUUAAAGGCAGUAGGUCUGGAUCAGGCUAGUGGCCUGGGACACUGUGUGUUAGAGACGUCGCGUUAGCUGACUUGUCUUCUCAUAGUGCGUCCUAGGCUAUUAAAGCUGGCUUGGUCAAGGCCUCUACAGUCGGCACAUACUUGUAUGUGUUGACAACCCCCCUUUUUGAUCUCAAAUCAGGUAAGGCUACCCGCUGAACUUAAGCAUAUCAGUAAGCGGAGGAAAAGAAACUAACAAGGAUUCCCCUAGUAACGGCGAGCGAAGCGGGAAGAGCUCAAAUUUAAAAUCUGGUAGGCUUUGCCUGCUCGAAUUGUAGUUUAAAGAGGCGUUAUCUGGCUGCUAUCUGGUGCUCAAGUCCCUUGGAAUAGGGCGUCACAGAGGGUGAGAACCCCGUCUGGGCAUUGGGUAGUGGUCUAUAUGAGGCGCUCUCUACGAGUCGGGUUGUUUGGGAAUGCAGCUCAAAAUGGGUGGUAAAUUUCAUCUAAGGCUAAAUACUGGCAAGAGACCGAUAGCGAACAAGUACCGUGAGGGAAAGAUGAAAAGCACCUUGAAAAGGGAGUUAAAUAGUGCGUGAAAUUGUUAAAAGGGAAACGAUUGAGACCAGUAUUGCUGUUGGCCGUUCAGCGACGUGUUGGUGCAAGCCUGCGCGUCGUGUACUCGGUCAGCGGCGAGUCAGCGUCAGUUUGGGCUUCCGGAGAGAGGUCAGAGGAAGAUGGGGUUUGCUUUCGGGCUAACCUUUUAUAGACUCUGGCUGGCACGGGAGCCUGGACUGAGGUGUGCGACUGUCGUACUCUCGGCUUGAGACCAGCCCCCAAGGCAACGGACUACACGUAGACCGGUGCUACAAGGGACGGAGGUAGGGCCGAGCAGGCAGUUCCAGGAUGCUGACGAAAUGGUCUUAAACGACCCGUCUUGAAACACGGACCAAGGAGUCCAACAUAUAUGCGAGUAUUUGGGUGGCAAACCCGAGUGCGUAAUGAAAGUGAUCUGGAUGAGAGCCGUUCUUCGGGGCGGUGCAUCAUCGACCGAAUCCUGAUGUCUUCUGACGGGUUUGAGUAAGAGCAUAUCUGUUGGGACCCGAAAGGUAGUGAACUAUGCCUGGAUAGGAUGAAGCCAGAGGAAACUCUGGUGGAGGUCCGUAGCCGUUCUGACGUGCAAAUCGAUGGUCAAAUCUGGGUAUAGGGGCGAAAGACUAAUCGAACUACCUAGUAGCUGGUUCCCUC
rnacentral:misc_RNA from 1 species